UGAAAAGACACUUGUUAUACCUAAAGUUCUUGCUGAUUUGUACUACUAACUAAGCAGUUGACCAAUUCUUUUCUGAUGAGUUAAUGGUGGAUAAUAUUCUCAAAUGCCUUAUGCGUCUUCCUGGCAGAGAUAGCUGGCACUUGUAUUAUCACAUAUUAAAUUGGGUUUUGGUUAAAUGCAGGUGGUUAUGGGACUCUUGAAG
rnacentral:misc_RNA from 1 species